rnacentral:rRNA from 1 species
CUACGGGCCGCUGCAGUGGGGAAUAUUGCACAAUGGGCGCAAGCCUGAUGCAGCCAUGCCGCGUGUAUGAAGAAGGCCUUCGGGUUGUAAAGUACUUUCAGCGGGGAGGAAGGGAGUAAAGUUAAUACCUUUGCUCAUUGACGUUACCCGCAGAAGAAGCACCGGCUAAGUCCGUGCCAGCAGCCGCGGUAAUACGGAGGGUGCAAGCGUGUAAUCGGAAUUACUGGGCGUAAAGCGCACGCAGGCGGUUUGUUAAGUCAGAUGUGAAAUCCCCGGGCUCAACCUGGGAACUGCAUCUGAUACUGGCAAGCUUGAGUCUCGUAGAGGGGGGUUGAAUUCCAGGUGUAGCGGUGAAAUGCGUAGAGAUCUGGAGGAAUACCGGUGGCGAAGGCGGCCCCCUGGACGAAGACUGACGCUCAGGUGCGAAAGCGUGGGGAGCAAACAGGAUUAGAUACCCGGGUAGUC